rfam:Micromonospora coxensis strain DSM 45161 genome assembly, chromosome: I
CUUCACCGACCCGAGCAGCAGCGGACGGUCCGCCGGCCGCUGCCGGCCGUACGUGGCCAGCAGCGCCUGCGCCUC